rnacentral:rRNA from 1 species
GUAUAAGAGACAGCAGUCGCCGCGGUAAUACGAAGGGUGCAAGCGUUACUCGGAAUUACUGGGCGUAAAGCGUGCGUAGGUGGUGGUUUAAGUCCGUUGUGAAAGCCCUGGGCUCAACCUGGGAAUUGCAGUGGAUACUGGGUCACUAGAGUGUGGUAGAGGAUAGUGGAAUUUCCGGUGUAGCAGUGAAAUGCGUAGAGAUCGGAAGGAACAUCUGUGGCGAAGGCGACUAUCUGGGCCAACACUGACACUGAGGCACGAAAGCGUGGGGAGCAAACAGGAUUAGAUACCCCAGUAGUCCCUGUCUCUUAUAC